UACGUAGGGGGCAAGCGUUGUCCGGAAUCAUUGGGCGUAAAGCGCGUGUAGGCGGCUCGGUAAGUCCGGUGUGAAACCUUGGGGCUCAACCCCAAGCCUGCACUGGAUACUGUCGAGCUCGAGUCCGGGAGGGGAGAGCGGAAUUCCUAGUGUAGCGGUGAAAUGCGUAGAUAUCGGGAGGAACACCAGUGGCGAAGGCGGCUUCCUGGCCUGU
rnacentral:rRNA from 1 species